UGGGGAAUAUUGCACAAUGGGCGCAAGCCUGAUGCAGCCAUGCCGCGUGUGUGAAGAAGGCCUUCGGGUUGUAAAGCACUUUCAGCGGGGAGGAAGGCGGUGAGGUUAAUAACCUCACCGAUUGACGUUACCCGCAGAAGAAGCACCGGCUAACUCCGUGCCAGCAGCCGCGGUAAUACGGAGGGUGCAAGCGUUAAUCGGAAUUACUGGGCGUAAAGCGCACGCAGGCGGUUUGUUAAGUCAGAUGUGAAAUCCUCGGGCUCAACCUGGGAACUGCAUCUGAUACUGGCAAGCUUGAGUCUCGUAGAGGGGGGUAGAAUUCCAGGUGUAGCGGUGAAAUGCGUAGAGAUCUGGAGGAAUACCGGUGGCGAAGGCGGCCCCCUGGACGAAAACUGACGCUCAGGUGCGAAAGCGUGGGGAGCAAACAGG
rnacentral:rRNA from 1 species